rnacentral:rRNA from 1 species
AACGAACGCUGGCGGCAUGCCUAACACAUGCAAGUCGAACGAGACCUUCGGGUCUAGUGGCGCACGGGUGCGUAACGCGUGGGAACCUGCCCUUAGGUUCGGCAUAACUCCCCGAAAGGGGUGCUAAUACCGGAUAAUGUCUUCGGACCAAAGAUUUAUCGCCUUUGGAUGGGCCCGCGUUGGAUUAGCUAGUUGGUAGGGUAAAAGCCUACCAAGGCGACGAUCCAUAGCUGGUCUGAGAGGAUGAUCAGCCACACUGGGACUGAGACACGGCCCAGACUCCUACGGGAGGCAGCAGUGGGGAAUAUUGGACAAUGGGCGAAAGCAUGAUCCAGCAAUGACGCGUGAGUGAUGAAGGCAUUAGGGUUGUAAAGCUCUUUUACCCGGGAUGAUAAUGACAGUACCGGGAGAAUAAGCUCCGGCUAACUCCGUG